rnacentral:lncRNA from 10 species
CGCUUCUCUUUUUGAACCAGGUGGAGACCCAGCGUGAAGGAGGCUGUGUCUGUAAGGCAGGGAAAAAAGCCUUCACCAGGAACCAGUGCUGGCACCCUGAUGUCAGACUUCAAGCCUCCAAAGCUGUGAGGGUACUGGUAGCCGCAUAAAACAAGUUGGGGCAUAUUCCAACAAAAUAGAACAUUUUGUGAAAGAGUGUAUAUGAAAAAGUUACUUCUUCCUUGAAUGUGUAAUAGAAUUCACCAGUGGAACCACCAGGGAUUGACAAUUUCUUUAUGGGGAGAGGAUGGGCAUCUAUGAACA